rnacentral:rRNA from 1 species
GAUGAACGCUGGCGGCGUGCCUAAUACAUGCAAGUCGAGCGAAUAGUAGAGAGCUUGCUCUCUACUAUUAGCGGCGGACGGGUGAGUAACACGUGGGCAACCUGCCUAUAAGACUGGGAUAACUUCGGGAAACCGGAGCUAAUACCGGAUACGUUCUUUUCUCGCAUGAGAGAAGAUGGAAAGAUGGUUUCGGCUAUCACUUAUAGAUGGGCCCGCGGCGCAUUAGCUAGUUGGUGAGGUAAUGGCUCACCAAGGCCACGAUGCGUAGCCGACCUGAGAGGGUGAUCGGCCACACUGGGACUGAGACACGGCCCAGACUCCUACGGGAGGCAGCAGUAGGGAAUCUUCCGCAAUGGACGAAAGUCUGACGGAGCAACGCCGCGUGAACGAAGAAGGCUUUCGGGUCGUAAAGUUCUGUUGUUAGGGAAGAACAAGUACCAGAGUAACUGCUGGUACCUUGACGGUACCUAACCAGAAAGCCACGGCUAACUACGUGCCAGCCGCCGCAGUAAAAC